UAAGGAAUAUUGCUCAAUGGGAGAAAUCCUGAAGCAGCAACGCCGCGUGGAGGAUGAAGGGUCUAUGACUUGUAAACUCCUGUAAAGAAGGAAAAAAUUCCCAUUAGAUGGGAGAUGAUGGUACUUCUGGAGUAAGCCCCGGCUAACUACGUGCCAGCAGCCGCGGUAAUACGUAGGGGGCAAGCGUUGUCCGGAUUUACUGGGUGUAAAGGGUGCUCAGGCGGAUUUGUAAGUCAGAGGUGAAAUCUUACAGCUUAACUGUGAAACUGCCUUUGAUACUGCAAGCCUAGAGUAUGGAAGAGAGUGAUGGAAUAUCUGGUGUAGCAGUGAAAUGCGUAGAUAUCAGAUAGAACACCAAUGGCGAAGGCAGUCACUUGGUCCAUUACUGACGCUAAAGCACGAAAGCGUGGGUAGCAAAC
rnacentral:rRNA from 1 species